rnacentral:rRNA from 1 species
UACGAAGGGGGCUAGCGUUGCUCGGAAUCAUUGGGCGUAAAGCGCGUGUAGGCGGCUCGAUAAGUCUGCUGUGAAAGUUCAGGGCUCAACCCUGAAAUGCCGGUGGAAACUGUCGAGCUAGAGUCCGGAAGAGGCGAGUGGAAUUCCUGGUGUAGCGGUGAAAUGCGCAGAUAUCAGGAGGAACACCAAUGGCGAAGGCAGCUCGCUGGGACGGUACUGACGCUGAGACGCGAAAGCGUGGGGAGCAAACAGG